GAGCUGACUACCAAUGGGGAAGGAUCUCUUUUGGAGAUUGCUCCUCUAGGAAUUUUCUUAGUGAGUCCAGGUGGAAGCUCUACAUUUGGGAACACUGAUGGCAGCACAUGGUUAUUUUUUUCCAAUCUCAGACCAUGUUCUAACACUAAAGGAUGAUGGCACAUUUUAUCGAUUCCAGACACCCUAUUUUUGGCCUUCAAAUUGUUGGGAGCCGGAAAACACAGACUAUGGUCAGUGUGGAAAUCUUUCCUCUUUAUUUCGGGAAUUAUGUAUUAUAUGAAUGAACAUAUCAUUGCAGUCUGUCUUGUUUAAUCAUUCCACUGUUAAAAGCAUAAUUAAUGUCAUGUAAUUCCUGUGU